rnacentral:misc_RNA from 1 species
UGGUGAACAACUAAUCCUUUUCAUAGAUUGGCAAAUAACAUUGUAGAAUAAUGAUAAUGUAAACUAGCCUAACUUUGUGCCAGCCUAAGUUUAUCAGAAGCAGCUAGUGAACAUGAAACCAAUAUUCAAUACCUAGCAAGCAAGCAUACCGGUGCAGACAAUGAAGAAAGAAAUAAUUCCUAUUAAAAGAACAUAAAUUAUCCUCUCCGCAAAAGGGGGAUUAAGUCAGCUAUUCCCCAUGA